rnacentral:misc_RNA from 1 species
UAACCUCAUCACAUCAGCAUUUUGUUGGUGUCAUGGACUUGGAUGCUGCCGUGUUAUGACGGCUCAUCUGAAAUAUCUGAGUACAUCCUGAUUUGUGAUGUGUUCGGUGUGAUAAAUCUUCACCGAGUCGACCUCUGGUCACACUCACUCGACAUGGCUCUGUGCUUCCAACGGUCUCCCAUGUGAGACAGCUUUUGACA